GAGGUUUCAGGUGUUGUCAUGGAGGACGCUGCAAAGCUGGGGCCGGCGGAGGAGGUCCCCGAAAACCAAAGAAUUCAGCCGGCGACCGGUCGGGGAGGAGCUCUGGUGGAGCGCACCUCGACCCCCGGCGGCCUGGCCCUGGUGAGCCCCUACCACACCCACCGGGCCAGGGACCCCUUAGACCUCGUGGCGCUCGCAGAGCAGGUGCAGAAGGCUGAUGAAUUCAUCCGAGCAAAUGCCACCAACAAACUGAUGGUCAUAGCUGAGCAAAUCCAACAUUUACAAGAACAAGCCAGGAAGGAAUGGGGGACAGGUUGUCCACAUGACUUCCUUGGUGCCUACAAGCUACAGUAUGACUUGUCCUGGACUCCAUAUGAGGACAUUGAGAAGCACGAUGCCCAAAUCAGCAUACUGAACACGUUGCUAAGCCAGCCUGCAGCCCUGCCUCCAAACACUGAACCCACCUUCCAUGGACUGACUGAGAAUGGACACUCAUAGAUAGCUCUCACAGCAAGGACCUUCCACCUCUUUGUUGCCCUCAUUCUCGGCCUUGAUGGGAGGUGGCAUGAGAAUUGAGGUAUUGUGGGUGAAUCAUGAACUUCUUGAAUAAAGGCCCUGUGUGGAGCGCC